rnacentral:rRNA from 1 species
AGUGAACGCUGGCGGCGUGCUUAACACAUGCAAGUCGAACGAGAACGGAUUAUAGCUUGCUAUAGUUGUCAGCUAAGUGGCGCACGGGUGAGUAAUGUAUAGGUAAUAUGCCUCUUACUAAGGGAUAACAAAUGGAAACGUUUGCUAAUACCUUAUACUCCUUAUUAACAUAAGUUAAUAAGGGAAAGAUUUAUUGGUAAGAGAUUAGCCUGUAUUGUAUCAGUUAGUUGGUGGGGUAAUGGCUUACCAAGGCGACGAUCGGUAGGGGGUGUGAGAGCAUGACCCCCCACACGGGUACUGAGACACGGACCCGACUCCUACGGGAGGCAGCAGUGAGGAAUAUUGGACAAUGGGCGCAAGCCUGAUCCAGCCAUGCCGCGUGCAGGAUGACGGUCCUAUGGAUUGUAAACUGCUUUUGUACAGGAAGAAACNCUCCCUCGUGAGGGAGCUUGACGGUACUGUAAGAAUAGGAUCGGCUAACUCCGUGCCAGCAGCCG